AUGACAGAAAAGCCUAAAAAAAUAAGAAAAACAAAACAAACCAAUAUAAGUGGACUGCAAGGAAGAAAAACUGUCCAUCAUCCAGGGGAGGGUCAAUUAAUCAGUGUAAGAACACAUGCAAAGCCAUCCAGCCAUGAUGGACUAACAGCAAAGGACCAAUUAUCCUGUGCAUCUGUUCCACAAGUGGUAAGAAAUGGUUAAAUGAAAGGCUUCUCAUGCAUUUACAGAAGGAAACUGGACCCACUGAAAAGAAACAUAUAAAUCUUAGCACCUGA
rnacentral:lncRNA from 1 species